CUUUCAUGGGUGAAGGAAAGAUAAAAACAUUCACAGAUGAGUGAAAAACAAAAGAUUUUGUGACUAGGAAACCUAUCCUUAAAAUGCUGUUGAAUAGAAGUUCUUCCAACAGGAAACGGUAAAAGAAGAAAACUUGGAAGAAGAAACAACAAAAAAGAGCAGAAAUAUGGGUUCAUACAAUCUCUUUUAGGAGUUUGAUGAUUGAAACAAACUUCAAUGUUGUCUGAUAUUCAAAACAAUGAUAUUUAAGGAUGAGAGAGUCAAAGGGACUUAAAUGGAAUUGAGCUUCCAUAUUUCAUUUAAAAUAGCAAAUGUUGAUACUUAUACAAUUUUAAAAAUAACGUGUAACACCCAGGGCAACCAGUGUGACUUUUUGUGUGAAGAAGCAAACCCAAAACUACUAUAAAUAAGUCAAAAUGGAAUCUUAAAGAAUAUUUUCAAGUAAACUGCAAAAAGAUAAGAAAGAGAAAAAGAUUAAUGAGAACCAGUGAAAACAGAAAAUAAAUAAUAGAAUAGCAGAUUAAAAUGCUAGCAUAGCAAUGAUUACCUUGUAUGCAAAUGUUCUAAAUAUACCAAUCAAAAGAUGAAAAUAGGGAGAGUGAAUUAAAAAUAAUCUACGUGUAUUAAUCUCCUACUACAUAUGAGAAACUCCAAAUUCAAACACAGGUAAACUGAAAAUAAAAAGUAAAAAAAGAUAUACCAUGUACACAUUAAUCAGAAAAAUAAAGAGAACAGUAGUAGCAAUAACAAAGAUUUCAAAGCAAAGAAAAUUACCAGAGACAAAAUGGGAUAUUAUAUAACAAUAAAAGGAUCAAUCCACCCAGGAAGCACAACAUACUAAAAGCUAAGCCACAGAUAAAGCUACAACUGAUAAAACUGAAGUGAAAAUUAGAAUAACCUACAAAUACCAUUCAAAACUUCAACACCACCCCCACUCCCAUCCCCAGUAACUAUGAUAGAGUUAUGAGGCAGAAAAUCACAAAAACAUGGGAAAUCUAAAUAGUGCAGUCAAUCAAGAGGAUCUAAUUAACAUACCAAAUAUACGACCCACAUCAACAGAAUACAUUUUUCUCAUUUGCCCAUUGAACACUGACCAAGUAUACAUAAACAAACAAAGUAUACUCUAAAACAAAACUUGAUGGCCAGGCAUGGUGGCACAUGCCUGUAAUCCCAGUGACUAGUGAGGCUGAGGCAGGAGAAUCAGAAGUUCCUGGCCAGCCUGGGCACUAAAAGGGUUGGGGUUACAGCUCAGUGAUAGAGGACUUGGAUUACAGGUGUGUGCCACCUUCUCCAGUUUAGUAAACUUCUAAAGGGGAAUUAACACCUACUUUACACCCUGUCCUCCAAGAAAUGGAAGAGGAGGUAAAAUUUCUCCUCACUCCGUACAAAACCAAAGAAGGACAUUACAUGAAAAGAAAACCACAAACAUCUAUCCUAAAUUUAGAAACAAAUUCUUAAAUAGAAUAUUAGCAAACCUUUUGGCACAUAAGAAUGAUUAUAUGCCAAGAACAAUUGGGAUUUAUUCCAGGUUAGUGAGGUUUAAGGAUUUGCAUCUAAAUCUUGGAGAGAUGUUUGUUUAUAGUUAUCUGCUUUUGAGAAAUAGGGAUCUAAUUUCAUUCUUCUUUUCACCAAUGUAUGUUUCUGGCACCCUUGUCAAGAAUCAGAUGACUGUUGCUGUGUGGGUUUGUCUCUGUGUCCUUUGGCUAUUCCAUUGGUCUACAUAUCUGUUUUAAUGCCAGUACUAUUAUUUUGUUUUGUUUUGUUUUGUUUUUUACUAUGGAUCUGUAAUAUAAUUUGUGCCUCCAGCUUUGCUCUUUUUGCUCAGGAUCACUUUGGCUAUUCUAAGUCUUAUUCUUCGAUACCAAUUUUAGGAUUUUUCUUUUUCUAGUUCUGUGAAGUAUGUCAUUGCUAUUUUGUUGUCUCUUGCAUUGAAUUUGUAGAUUGCUUUCAGCUAUAUGCUCAUUUAAAUUAUAUUAAUUCUGCCUAUCCAUGAACAUGGUAUGUCUUUUCAUCUGCUAGCAUCUUUUUCAAUUUCUU
rnacentral:lncRNA from 1 species